GAUGAACGCUGGCGGCGUGCCUAACACAUGCAAGUCGAGCGAUUUACUUCGGUAAAGAGCGGCGGACGGGUGAGUAACGCGUGGGUAACCUGCCCUGUACACACGGAUAACAUACUGAAAGGUAUGCUAAUACGAGAUAAUAUGCUUUUAUCGCAUGGUAGAAGUAUCAAAGCUUUUGCGGUACAGGAUGGACCCGCGUCUGAUUAGCUAGUUGGUAAGGUAACGGCUUACCAAGGCGACGAACAGUAGCCGACCUGAGAGGGUGAUCGGCCACAAUGGAACUGGGACACGGUCCAAACUACUACGGGAGGCAGCAGUGGGGAAUAUUGCACAAUGGGCGAAAGCCUGAUGCAGCAACGCCGCGUGAGCGAUGAAGGCCUUCGGGUCGUAAAGCUCUGUCCUCAAGGAAGAUAAUGACGGUACUUGAGGAGGAAGCCCCGGCUAACUACGUGCCAGCCGCCGCCGUAAUAC
rnacentral:rRNA from 1 species